UCCGCUAUGUCAUCUAAAAAUUGAUACUUUUAUGGUCAAAACUUCGUUUAUCUAGAGUCGCAGAAGGCAUUGAUCAAUCUACUACAGUUGAAGGUGCAGCAUUGAUCUACAUACAAAAUGAUCCAUGAAGAUCACCAAACUCAAUGUAGACUACUUUGGCUAUUAUAAGUUAAGUUGAAUUAGCUGUAGAAAUAAGAUCAAUUAUAUUUAGAAGUCAAAUUAUAAGCAAAACUUCUGAAUGCUAUAACUUAGUUAUACAACACCAAAUUGAGAUAAUUUUUUUUAAAAAAAAUAGGUAAUUUCAAGAUUUACAUCUUACAAUAAAUUGCUUAAGAUUAAAAUGGGCCCAAAUUCUAUUGUUUGAACCCUAGAAUAGGUUGAUUAACUUGAAAAAAAAAAUUGAGAAAGAUUUUGAGCAAAUAUAUCUCUCAAUCCAUGAAGAUUAAGUGGAGUUAUAAAAGAUAAAAUUGAUAUAGA
rnacentral:lncRNA from 1 species